UGGAAUCCUACAGUAUGUAUUUUGUUGGUGUUGGUCAUAUACAUAUGGAACUUUACCAAGGUAAAUAAGCCUUUAUAUUGCCGAAGUUGAAUAAGAAUAUCAAGCUGCUGUCCUGAAACUUCAUAAACUUACCCAUAUUGAGGUAAAAGAAACAAUCUGCCUGUGGUUGCAACAGAGAAAAACAAGAGUAAUAAGGAGAGGAUACAGAAACCAGCAACAAGGACCAGCUGAAAAUGAUCCAGGCCACUAAAAUUAUAUAUGAUACUAUAGUAAAUUGCUUAUUGUAUAAAUUAUAAUAUUAAUAAAUUUUUAGUAACUAA